UGACUGAGUGGCGGACGGGUGAGUAACGCGUGGGUAACCUGCCUUGUACAGGGGGAUAACAGUUGGAAACGGCUGCUAAUACCGCAUAAGCGCACGGCAUCGCAUGAUGCAGUGUGAAAAACUCCGGUGGUAUAAGAUGGACCCGCGUUGGAUUAGCUAGUUGGUGAGGUAACGGCCUACCAAGGCAACGAUCCAUAGCCGACCUGAGAGGGUGACCGGCCACAUUGGGACUGAGACACGGCCCAAACUCCUACGGGAGGCAGCAGUGGGGAAUAUUGCACAAUGGGCGAAAGCCUGAUGCAGCGACGCCGCGUGAGCGAAGAAGUAUUUCGGUAUGUAAAGCUCUAUCAGCAGGGAAGAUAAUGACGGUACCUGACUAAGAAGCACCGGCUAAAUACGUGCCAGCAGCCGCGGUAAUACGUAUGGUGCAAGCGUUAUCCGGAUUUACUGGGUGUAAAGGGAGCGCAGGCGGUGCGGCAAGUCUGAUGUGAAAGCCCGGGGCUCAACCCCGGUACUGCAUUGGAAACUGUCGUACUAGAGUGUCGGAGGGGUAAGCGGAAUUCCUAGUGUAGCGUUGAAAUGCGUAUAUAUUAUGAGGAACACCA
rnacentral:rRNA from 1 species